rnacentral:rRNA from 1 species
UAUCCGGAUUUAUUGGGCGUAAAGGGCUCGUAGGCGGUUCGUCGCGUCCGGUGUGAAAGUCCAUCGCCUAACGGUGGAUCUGCGCCGGGUACGGGCGGGCUGGAGUGCGGUAGGGGAGACUGGAAUUCCCGGUGUAACGGUGGAAUGUGUAGAUAUCGGGAAGAACACCAAUGGCGAAGGCAGGUCUCUGGGCCGUCACUGACGCUGAGGAGCGAAAGCGUGGGGAGCGAACAGGAUUAGAUACCCUGGUAGUCCACGCCGUAAACGGUGGAUGCUGGA